rnacentral:rRNA from 1 species
UACGUAGGGGGCAAGCGUUGUCCGGAUUUACUGGGCGUAAAGAGCGCGCAGGCGGUCGUUCAAGUCGCGUGUGAAAGCCCCCGGCUCAACUGGGGAGGGUCACGCGAUACUGAUCGACUGGAAGGCAGGAGAGGGUAGUGGAAUUCCCGGUGUAGUGGUGAAAUGCGUAGAUAUCGGGAGGAACACCAGUGGCGAAGGCGACUACCUGGCCUGUUCUUGACGCUGAGGCGCGAAAGCUAGGGGAGCAAACGGG